UUAGAUUUUCGGUCGUUCGAGAAACAAUUGCUUGUUUACCUUUUUCAUAGAUAAAUAUGUCAAAAUCUUCCGUAGAACUUCAAGAGAGAUUUUCUUUGGCGUUCUCUAAUUAUAAUCAUGCAAUUGAUUCAUGCAGCUCCUUAUUUCAUAAGUACAUGAAAGAAAUAACGGACCAGUUGAUUAGUGCCGAAGAGACAAUGGAUGCAACAGCCAGAUAUCUAAAUCAUAUGAGAAAGGUGAUAUCUUCUCUACAUCAGCAAAUAGGCAAGCUUGAACAUGCUUUGGAUGUAUAUGAUCUUAAACACUCUGUUACUGCGUGCUGUUCUAUUUUAGAAAGCAAAGUUUAAUACAAUUACAAGAGAGAUACACAUUG